rnacentral:lncRNA from 1 species
CGCUCAGCACGGCUUCCUCAGCAUGGUCAUCCUCACCAUGGUCAUCCUCAGCACAGCCAUCCUCACCUCAGCACGGCUUCCUCAGCAUGGUCAUGCUCAGCACGGCCAGCCUCACCUCAGCACGGCUUCCUCACCAUGCUCAUCCUCACCGCGGCCAGCCUCACCUCAGCGCAGCUUCCUCACCAUGGCCAGCCCCACCUCAGCACGGCUUCCUCAGCAUGGACAUCUUCACCAUCGUCAUCCUCACCAUGGUCAUCCUCAGCAUGGCCAGCCCCACCUCAGCACGGCUUCCUCACCAUGGUCAUCCUCACCAUGGCCAUCCUCACCUCAGCACGGCUUCCUCACCAUGGUCAUCCUCAUCAUGGUCAUCCUCACCUCAGCACGGCUUCCUCACCAUGCUCAUCCUCACCACGGCCAGCCUCACCUCAGCGCAGCUUCCUUACCAUGGCCAGCCUCACCAUGGUCAUCCUCACCAUGGCCAGCCCCACCUCAGCACGGCUUCCUCAGCAUGGACAUCUUCACCAUGGUCAUCCUCACCAUGGCCAGCCCCACCUCAGCACGGCUUCCUCACCAUGGUCAUCCUCACCUCAUCACGGCUUCCUCACCAUGGCCGUCCUCACCAUGGUCAUCCUCACCAUGGCCUCCUCACCAUGGUCAUCCUUACCACGGCCAUCCUCACUAUGGCCAUUGCCUCAGCAUGGCUUCCUGACCACGGCCAGCCUCACCAUGGUCAUCUUCACCUUGAUCAUCCUCACCAUGGUCAUCCAUCAUCACCACCAUCCUCACCUUCAGCACAGCUUCCUUCCCGUGGGACUGCUCACCAAGGCCAGCCUCAGCAUGGCCAUCCAUCACCACCACUAUCCUCACCCUCAGCACGGCUUUCUCACCAUGGCCAUCCUCACCAUGGCCAUCCUCACCAUGGUCAUCCUCACCAUGGUCAUCCUCACCAUGGCCAUCCUCACCAUGGCCAUCCUCACCAUGGCCAGCCUCACCCUCAGCACAGCUUCCUCACCAUGGUCAUCCUCGCCAUGGCCAUCCUCACCAUGGUCAUCCUCACCAUGGUCAUCCUCACCAUGGCCAUCCUCACCAUGGCCAUCCUCACCCUCAGCACCAUGCCUUCCUCCCCGUGCUCUGACUCACUGUGGUGGUCAGGGCCACCCUCACCACAGCCUUCCUCUCCAUGGCCAUCCUCACCUUCCACACAGCCUUCCUCGCCAGGGUCUUCCUCCUCACAGUCUGCCUCACCAUGACCUUCGUCUCCAGAGUCUGCCUUCACCAUGUCCAGCCUCUCCCUCAGCAUGGUCUUCCCUUCUUCAUCUGCCUCACCGUGGUCUUCCUCAUCACAUCUUCCUCACCACAGGGCCUUCCUCGCCGUGGUCAUCCUCACUGUGAUGACCCCCACAGUGACAGCCUUGGCCACGGCCUUCCUCCCUGUGGUGACCCUCCCGUGGUCUUCUUUGUGGUGGCCCAUGGACAGGAGAGAGAGCUCCACACACAUGGUCAUUCCCAACCCCUUCAUUAAUUUAUCAAG